rnacentral:tRNA from 1 species
AAGAUUUUAAGUUAAUUAAACUAAUAGCCUUCAAAGUUUUAAAUAAAAAUUAAAUUUUUUAAAUCUUA